UAGUUGGCGGGGUAACGGCCCACCAAGUCUACGAUGGAUAGGGGUUCUGAGAGGAAGGUCCCCCACAUUGGAACUGAGACACGGUCCAAACUCCUACGGGAGGCAGCAGUGAGGAAUAUUGGUCAAUGGACGCGAGUCUGAACCAGCCAAGUAGCGUGAAGGAUGACUGCCCUAUGGGUUGUAAACUUCUUUUAUAAGGGAAUAAAGUGAGGGACGUGUCCCUUUUUGUAUGUACCUUAUGAAUAAGGAUCGGCUAACUCCGUGCCAGCAGCCGCGGUAAUACGGAGGAUCCAAGCGUUAUCCGGAUUUAUUGGGUUUAAAGGGAGCGUAGGUUGACAUAUAAGUCAGCUGUGAAAGUUUACGGCUCAACCGUGAAAUUGCAGUUGAUACUGUAUGUCUUGAGUGUACAAGAGGUGGGCGGAAUUCGUGGUGUAGCGGUGAAAUGCUUAGAUAUCACGAAGAACUCCAAUUGCGAAGGCAGCUCACUGGGGUACAACUGACACUGAGGCUCGAAAGUGUGGGUAUCAAACAGGAUUAGAUACCCUGGUAGUCCACACAGUAAACGAUGAAUACUCGCUGUUUGCGAUAUAC
rnacentral:rRNA from 1 species